GAUGAACGCUAGCUACAGGCUUAACACAUGCAAGUCGUGGGGCAGCAUGAAGGAAGCUUGCUUCCUUUGAUGGCGACCGGCGCACGGGUGAGUAACGCGUAUCCAACCUUCCCCUUACUAGAGGAUAGCCCGGCGAAAGUCGGAUUAAUUCCCUAUGUUCUCCAAUGCAGGCAUCUAAGUUGGAGCAAAGAUUCAUCGCUAUGGGAUGGGGAUGCGUCUGAUUAGGUUGUCGGCGGGGUAACGGCCCACCGAGCCUGCGAUCAGUAGGGGUUCUGAGAGGAAGGUCCCCCACAUUGGAACUGAGACACGGUCCAAACUCC
rnacentral:rRNA from 1 species